AACGAACGCUGGCGGCAGGCCUAACACAUGCAAGUCGAGCGAGGACUUCGGUCCUAGCGGCGGACGGGUGAGUAACGCGUGGGAACGUGCCCCUUGGUACGGAAUAGCCCCGGGAAACUGGGAGUAAUACCGUAUGAGCUCUACGGAGGAACGAUGUAUCGCCAAGGGAUCGGCCCGCGUUGGAUUAGGUAGUUGGUGGGGUAAUGGCCUACCAAGCCGACGAUCCAUAGCUGGUUUGAGAGGAUGAUCAGCCACACUGGGACUGAGACACGGCCCAGACUCCUACGGGAGGCAGCAGUGGGGAAUCUUAGACAAUGGGCGCAAGCCUGAUCUAGCCAUGCCGCGUGAGCGAUGAAGGCCUUAGGGUUGUAAAGCUCUUUCAGCUGGGAGGAUAAUGACUGUACCAGCAGAAGAAGCCCCGGCUAACUCCGUGCCAGCAGCCGCCGUAA
rnacentral:rRNA from 1 species